rnacentral:rRNA from 1 species
UGGGGAAUAUUGCACAAUGGAGGGAACUCUGAUGCAGCGACGCCGCGUGAACGAAGAAGGCUUUCGAGUCGUAAAGUUCUUUUAUAUGGGAAGAUAAUGACGGUACCAUAAGAAAAAGCCCCGGCUAACUACGUGCCAGCAGCCGCGGUAAUACGUAGGGGGCUAGCGUUGUCCGGAAUCACUGGGCGUAAAGGGUUCGCAGGCGGAAAUGCAAGUCAGGGGUAAAAGGCAGUAGCUUAACUACUGUAAGCAUUUGAAACUGCAUAUCUUGAGAAGAGUAGAGGUAAGUGGAAUUUUUAGUGUAGCGGUGAAAUGCGUAGAUAUUAAAAAGAAUACCGGUGGCGAAGGCGGCUUACUGGGCUCAUUCUGACGCUGAGGAACGAAAGCGUGGGUAGCAAACAGG